GAUGUUGCAUGUGGGAGGGUUGGAGCUGCAUAUUUCAGAUUCAAGCAUCUGGCCGACAAGCUAAAGAAGUCAGUGGAGGAUGAAAUUCAUUUUCUCAAGGGAAGGGUUUCAGAACUUGAAAGUGAUCUUGUGUCGAAGUCCACAAAAGUUACAUAUGCAGUUUCAAGGGAAGAAGAAGCUCUAUCUUCUGCAUUUGCUGAAAUUGACCAUCUGAAGGAAGAAAAUUCUGUAAAAACAUGAGCAUUAUUGAAUGUGUAUGGAGGGUGUUUAUUGUGUUGGAGUGUAUUUAUUUCUUGCACAUGAGGGCACGCCUUAGUUGUAAUUCUUAUGAUAGGUUAAGCAAAGUGAAGUAUUGUUUAUUUAGAAAUGUGAAUGUAGGAUGCAUUGUAUGAUUUGAUUACUAUUUAUAAUAAAUGCAUCAUUUUUUUUCUGAUUGCA